AAAAUACAGUCUCCUGAAAAGGAAUGUUUCUUUUUUUGCUGAGUAUACUAGUAUAAAGAAUUUCAAAAGAGCAGGAUUUAUGACUAGGUUAUUGUGUGACUCCUAGAUUAUCAUUAUAAAUGAGUGUACCACCUCCUCCUCUGCCAGUUAGAUGAGGCUGAUGUAUAUGAACAGACAGUCUCAAUAUUGUGGAACCGAGGUGACGACUCAGUGCAGAUAGCGGACGGUCAGUUUAGCCAGCUUGUCUGCUCCCUGGCCUUGGCUCUGGGUUGUCACUGAUUAACUAGGCUUGUUCUGAGUCUAUGUGCUAUGCUGCAGGAAAUGAGAGCAGCACCUUCCCAGGUGGGAUGGAUACAGUCCCGCCCUAACAGGCCAGCCUUGCCCUCAAAACUACUCCAAUUAUCUAGCAGUUCAGCGAACAUAACCUGCUGUAAGCUAUAUUGGGAUGGGGCCAGAGCAUAUUGCUACAAUGGACCUGCAUAUAGACCUUGGGUAAGCUUAAGGUGAUCUCAACACACAGAGAGAGAAGGGAGUCUGAUGUGUUAUGUGUGAUGUGAUGAAGAUGCUAAUUCUGUGGGAGAGAGUUCAAAUGUUAAUUUCUGUAAGAAUCCUUUGUUUUCUCAGAGAGCAGUUCUCUCCAGGUUCAGACAUCUUGGCCCCAGCCUUACAAUAGCCUAACAAUUGCACUUACUGAAAACAAUUAAUGCCCAAGCCUCAUCCAUUCUUCAGUGGAUAACAUCAUUGGGAUAUUAUAGAUUUAAAGUUAAAAACACUUCUGAAGUCAUAAAAGACCCUGAUGCUUGUAAUGAAGAUCCUUUCAACACACUCAGUACUGUUUGACUUUACAGCAUACAGUUGGGGAAGAGUAAUGACUCAUAAUCACACUAUCUGGUGUCAGAUGGGGAUGGGUUCGCUUCUGAGUCUGGUUCCUCCCAAAGUUUCUUCCUCAUGCCGCCUUAGGGAGUGUUGGUCCAAUGGCUUAGCUAAAAUGAACUCAGCCAUGCAUUUGACUAUUUCUAUGAGUCAGAGCUACUGCUAACAGUUGUUCUUAUCCAAUAAUAGAAAGUAAACAUCUCCUUGGCUGUGUUUUUAACUUGAAUCACAUCAGUUUAAGUUAUUUUGGCUUGUAAUACACUUCAAUAGGAGUAGGAUUUAACAAAGUAGGAUAACUUUCAAGGAAAGAAAUUGAACAAGAAUAUGUACAUCCUGGAUUAUUGAGCAGAAAGUUACAGGAGACUGAUGAAGCUACAUUUUGUCUGCAGUUAUAUUUUUCAUACAUCUUCACUGUGAUUACUUGUUUUUCAUUUUAAGUAAAAAAUGAAUCUUUUAUUUUUAUUAUUAUUAUUAUUAUUAUUAUUAUUAUUAUUAUCUUUAUACAAAUUGUUUGUCUUAUUCUUUGUCUGUUUAAAAAAAAUCUUUUAUGUAAACCGCUUUUAGAUUUUGGACUAUUCUGAUGUAGUUAUGAAUAAUCGGUGCAUUCACUUUUUCUCAGAUCAGUUUUAUUGCUCGUCUUUGACUCACACAUGAAGAAACAAGUAUUCAGUUUGUGGGGUCUGAGUGUGAGGGAGUUUCUCUCUCUGUGUGCGAGUUGCCAGAUCUAGAUGUGCUUGUGAGAGUGUACGAAGGCCUGGGUUUCCUAACUAACCUCACUGACUUUUUAACGAGCUAGCAAUCCAACAUACACAACUCCACACGUACUUUUUUUUUUAUUUGUUUACUGUGUUAUAGGGCAGGAUGACCUAACAAAGUGUUCUUUGUUUGGACAGAGCAUGGCAGAUAGAAAAUAAGUCCAGGUUUAAGGUUCACGGAUUGCCAUGCUUCAAUGUGCAAUGUUAUUAUGCCUCGUUUGUUUUAAGAUUAUAGUAGGAGGCAUUGUUGGCAUUAUUAACUGAUCACAGCUGGUCACAUGGUUUGCCACUAGCAACAGACCUGAAAUGACCAAUGUGUAAAACUCUGAUGUAAUCCUUCUCUGUAAUCCUGCUAUAGCAGACCCACUACAACAUAAACAAGCCCACUGUUUUGAAUCAUCGUCAAAAACAGGAUGUCAGUGCUGUAUUGUAUCACUAUGUAACAUAGGAAUAUGAGUCAGUGUUAGUGACAUGACAAGACUUCCAUAAUAGGAUUCCCAUUUUUCACAUGACAAUCCAAAGAUAGUGCAAGCAUUUUUUUUCUACAUUUAAAGCAAGAUCAUAGAAUACAUGUAGCCUGGCCCAGCAAGUCACAUGACUUCUGAAGACACACCUUAAGCAGAUUUAGUGACCUUCAGAGGAGUGUUUAUACAUACUGUACUCAUGCUGUGUGUGUGUGUGUAUGUGUGUGUGUGUGUGUGUGUGUGUGUGUGUGUGUGUAAUCAGGCAACUGCAAGUAUGUACAGGUUUUCAAAGUUGCUAGUCUAUUUUCAAAUGUUUUGUUUGAUUGCAAAAAACCCUAUACUUGUUUACUGGUAUGGGACAUAAAUGGUUACUUUUUAGGACAUAAUUUGUACCUGAAGGAUAUCGCUUUCACUGAAAAUAAUAUGGUUAAUAGUUAUACAGUUCAAGUGCAGCUCAUGGAUCAAGUACUACACUGCACAUUCACACUACAGUCGAAUCUAAUCUGAAAAAAGGUCGAAUCUAAAACCCCAAUCUAGAAGCAUGUGUGUUUGAUCAAAAGUACAGGUGACUGUGAAUGGGGACAUGUGUCAUGUGACUGGUCAGGAGAUGUGGUCUGUGGUCUGGUAACCAGCUGAUUAAAUACUUUUCUACAUCAAAUACUAGUAAAGUAUUUGAAUCUGGGGUGGGCAUGGUGGCUAGUGGUUAGCAUGUUUGCCUUGCACCUCCAGGGUUGGGGGUUUGAUUCCCACCUCUGCUCUGUGUGCUUCAGGGGUUUCCUCCUCCAGUCCAAAGACAGGCAUUUGUAGGCUGAUUGGACAAUCUCGAAAUUGUCAGUAGAGUGUGAAUAGUGCCCUGCGAUGGGUUUGCACCCUGUCUAGGGUGUCCCCAACAUUGUGCCCCAAGUCCCCUGGGAUAGGUUCCAGGCUUUCCGCCAGGCUCCCUAAGUGGUACAGAAAAUAG
ensembl:lncRNA